AAGUUCAACUACUCCCUCUUAAAUUCUAGGUCCUGCAGUAGACUGGUGGGCACUUGGAGUUUGCUUGUUUGAGUUUCUAACUGGAAUUCCUCCUUUCAAUGAUGAAACACCACAACAAGUAUUCCAGAAUAUUCUGAAAAGAGAUAUCCCGUGGCCUGAAGGUGAAGAAAAGUUAUCUGAUAAUGCUCAAAAUGCAGUAGAAAUACUUUUAACUAUUGAUAAUGCAAAGAGAGCUGGAAUGAAAGAGCUGAGACGUCAUCCUCUCUUCAGUGAUGUGGACUGGGAAAAUCUGCAGCAUCAAACUAUGCCUUUCAUACCCCAACCAGAUGGCGAGACAGAUACUUCCUAUUUUGAAGCCAGAAAUAAUGCUCAGCACCUGACCGUAUCUGGAUUUAGUCUUUAGCACAUAAAUUUUCCUUUUAAUCUAAUCUUUUUUUAUAAGCUAUCAUAUACUCCUUCAUAGCAGAUUGAUCUAAGGGGGGAAAAGAAUCAUUAUGUUACUUGGAUCAGUGAGCUUCCACAGAGUUAAAAGUCUCGCAAGAACACAGUAACUUAUCUUAAUCUCAGAGUUGUAUAUAAAUCUUCAUUACUUUUUUCACUUUAUUUAUUUUGUUGCUGCACUUUAUGAAAAUUAAUGCAUCAGUAAAACUAGAAUGACACUACUCUGUUAAGAGAGGAACAAGCUUUGAGCCUUUCUUUCACAUGUUGAUUUCAGUCCACCAUUCAGUUUGGUGUUAAAAUAACAAAAUCAUACGGUUUUUUUGUAAUUUAUGUGGACAUGAUCGCCUGCAAAAGUGGAAGUCUCAAGAGCAAUCAUUUAAGCUUGCAUUUGUGGCCCCAAAACUGCAGCUGGGAAAUUCCUUUACUUGGUAGUGUAACUCCUUUAGGGAAUGAGGAAUAAAAAGGAUAGAGGCUUUAGCUUACUUUACUAUGAAACAGUCUUACAGCAAGUCAGUCUUGCUGCCUUGACUGCUUCUGGUUCUUUCUUUACAAUAUAUAUUUGCUUAAAAUUGUACUAGAGAGCUUAGGUGAGAUAUGCUAUAGCAAUUUUAACAGUUUAUUCAAAUUUAAUAAAACAUGUGAUGGUUUACAUCUUAAGAGAAUUUGUUUAAAACACA